rnacentral:rRNA from 1 species
CAGCCGCCACGGGAAAACGAAGGGGGCUAGCGUUGCUCGGAAUGACUGGGCGUAAAGGGCGCGUAGGCGGAUUGUUUAGUUAGGCGUGAAAUUCCUGGGCUUAACCUGGGGACUGCGCUUAAUACAGGCAGUCUAGAGUGAGGAAGAGGGUUGUGGAAUUCCCAGUGUAGAGGUGAAAUUCGUAGAUAUUCGCAAGAACACCAGUGGCGAAGGCGGCUCACUGGCCCAUAACUGACGCUGAGGCACGAAAGCGUGGGGAGCAAACAGGAUUAGAUACCCCGGUAGUCCCUGUCUCUUAUAC